CGCAGAAGAGGGAUAAUGGCAGCACUGACCUCUUGUGAGGCUGCACUGAUCUACAUGGGCUGAAGAUCCAUCCUCCCAGUCACCUCUGGUUCAAUCUGACUCCUUGCCACUGCCAUUUUGAGUGUAAAAGCACUUCUUGUGAGAACAUAAAUUGGAUCCCCACAGCUACAGGAAAGACACGAGAACCCACUGUGACUGUACAGCCCUGCUCUGCCAUUUUCAUCUCCUACCAAUGUGUCUCCUGAAAAGUACUGCUGCUGCGGGGAGGACAACUGUGGUUCAGACAGAAACAGGAGGAAGACAAAAGGGUGAGGUUUGACAUGAAGAAAUAUUCUCCGGAAGGGGGGAUCCCAGGGAUGUCUGCAUGCAAAAAGAUACAAGCCACUGUCUGCAUGAGAACAAGGAAGAUAAUGAGUGGAGUAAGACAAGGAUCAAAGGCAAAGAUAGACCAGACUGCUUGUUUGCCACCCCAGCACCUAGAUGAGCACUGAGGGAGAGGGACGUGUUCAAGGCCAGGCUGGAUGGGACCCUGGGCAGCCUGAGUUGGAAGUGGCUGGAGGCCAGACAUUUUUCUCAGUUGGACAAAUACGCAUGGAUGAAGAUCUUAAUUCCUUGUCCAGAGUCUACUGAAGCCAGGUUAGUGUUUUUUUGUUGUUGUUUCUUUUCUUCUGGAAAGUUACUGAUAUGGAGCACAAUUUUUUUUUUCUUUUUUUAAUCUGUUUUUUUUUCCCCCUGGUGUGGCUUUCUGCCAAGCUAGGAAGGGUGAAAGACCCACAUGCACUCCAUAACACAACCAGCCAGGAAGAAGGAUGUGAAAUUGAGGGUAUUUGUUCAACUCAAAGUCAGAAGGUAUCUUGCUAUGUGCUCUGAUGAUUUUAGGAUAGUUGCUAAACCAUAAUUAGGACCAGUUGAAGGGAACAGUUGCUUUGGACUGCUCUGCUGACUGGGAAUUAGAAGUUGGCUUAGAGAUGAGGUUCAGGAUAUAUUUAAAACAAAACAACAACAACAAAACAACUGCAUUAAAAAAAAAUUCAAAACAACAUUGUUUUUUGAGAUUGUGGCUAUCAGAGUUAGGCAUACACCUAUUUUCAAGGGACCCACCAAAGGCCUCCAGCACAAACCUACUCCUAUUCAACCACUUUGGAUUUAAGCUGGGUGUUUUCCUUCUUGGCCCUCCUCUUUUUUA
ensembl:lncRNA